rnacentral:rRNA from 1 species
ACGGGACCGCGCCUCCUCGGGGGGCGCGCGAUCCUUCCGCGUAACACUUGCCGAAGCCUCAGCAGCCCGAAAGGGUGCAGACCCGCGACUCUAAACGGAGGUCUGCUUAAAUGCUAGUCUGCCCCAAGCAGGCGACACUAUCAAAUUGCGGGAACACCCUAAAGACCUCAACACCAAGCGUCCGCCGGAAACGGCGGCGUGGCCGAGCUAAUAGCCCUGGGUACGGUAACAGCUUGAGGUAUGACGCGGGCGCAGCCCCGCCGAAAUGGGCAAUCCGCAGCCAAGUCCUAAGGGUCCGCCUGGAAGGGCGGAUUACGGAUGCUGUUCACAGGCCAAAUGGUAGUGGGUGGCCCCCCCCGCGAGGGGGGGCUGCUUAAGAUAUGGUCGGGCCCCUUUGGAAACAUCGGGGGGAAGUUUACGCUUCGAACCCAUCGGGCUGCACGCGCCGCGGCCGCCCCGAUGAGGGAAAACCGUUCCGUAGGUGAACCUGCGGAAGGAUCAUUACCAGGAAGCGGCGCCCUCGCCGGCGCCGGUUCUCCAACCACUGUGUACCGAACGCCUCGCCGCGCGCCCUCCCGCUCCGGGGGGGCGGGCGGCCGGCGCCCCAACCAAACCGUUCGUCGAGAUGGCAUCGUCUGACCUCCACGAGAAAGAAAUCGAAAUACAACUUUCAACAAUGGAUCUCUUGGCUCCGGCAUCGAUGAAGAACGCAGCGAAAUGCGAUAGCUAGUGUGAAUUGCAGAUUUUAGUGAAUCAUCGAGUCUUUGAACGCACAUUGCGCCUCUUGGUAUUCCUCGAGGCAUGCCUGUUCGAGCGUCGUUACGCCCCUCAAGCGCGAGCUUGGUGUUGGGGACCGCCCCGGGAGACCGGCGGCGGCCCUUGAAUCCAUCGGCGGUGCUGGUAGCAGCCCGGAGCGCAGCAGACAUGCGGCUUCCCGGGCGGCCCGGCGCCCGCCGGACAACGACGAGACCCUCCAAACGUCGACCUCGAAUCAGGUAGGGAUACCCGCUGAACUUAAGCAUAUCAAUAAGCGGAGGAAAAGAAACCAACAGGGAUUGCCUCAGUAACGGCGAGUGAAGCGGCAGCAGCUCAAAUUUGAAAUCUGGCGCCCCCCGGCGUCCGAGUUGUAAUUUGCAGAGGAUGCUUCGGCGUAGGCGCCGCCCAAAGUUCCUUGGAACGGGACGUCGCAGAGGGUGAGAGCCCCGUGUUCGGGCGGAUGCCUUCGCCGUGUGAAGCUCCUUCGACGAGUCGAGUUGUUUGGGAAUGCAGCUCAAAACGGGAGGUAAAUUUCUUCCAAAGCUAAAUACCGGCCGGAGACCGAUAGUGCACAAGUAGAGUGAUCGAAAGAUGAAAAGCACUUUGGAAAGAGAGUCAAACAGCGCGUGAAAUUGUUGAAAGGGAAGCGCUUGCGGUCAGAACUUGGCCGCCGUUGCUCGGGGAGGCCUCGCGCCUCCCUCGCUCUUCGGCGGCUGGGCCAGCAUCGGUUCGGGCGGCUCGAGAAAGGCCGCGGGAACGUAGCUCCCUCCGGGGAGUGUUAUAGCCCGCGGCGCAAUGGGGCCCGCCCGGAUCGAGGUCUGCG